CCUACGGGUGGCAGCAGUGGGGAAUAUUGGACAAUGGGCGAAAGCCUGAUCCAGCCAUGCCGCGUGUGUGAAGAAGGCCUUCGGGUUGUAAAGCACUUUCAGUGGGGAAGAAAGCCUUGGGGCUAAUACCCUCGAGGAAGGACAUCACCCACAGAAGAAGCACCGGCUAACUCCGUGCCAGCAGCCGCGGUAAUACGGAGGGUGCGAGCGUUAAUCGGAAUUACUGGGCGUAAAGCGCGCGUAGGCGGUCUGAUAAGCCGGUUGUGAAAGCCCCGGGCUCAACCUGGGAACGGCAUCCGGAACUGUCAGGCUAGAGUGCAGGAGAGGAAGGUAGAAUUCCCGGUGUAGCGGUGAAAUGCGUAGAGAUCGGGAGGAAUACCAGUGGCGAAGGCGGCCUUCUGGACUGACACUGACGCUGAGGUGCGAAAGCGUGGGUAGCAAACAGGAUUAGAUACCCUUGUAGUCC
rnacentral:rRNA from 1 species